rnacentral:rRNA from 1 species
AUUGAACGCUGGCGGCAGGCUUAACACAUGCAAGUCGAACGAGUGGCGGACGGGUGAGUAAUGCUUGGGAAUCUAGCUUAUGGAGGGGGAUAACUACGGGAAACUGUAGCUAAUACCGCGUACCAUAGGAUGAGCCCAAGUGGGAUUAGGUAGUUGGUGAGGUAAAGGCUCACCAAGCCGACGAUCUCUAGCUGGUCUGAGAGGAUGACCAGCCACACUGGGACUGAGACACGGCCCAGACUCCUACGGGAGGCAGCAGUGGGGAAUAUUGCGCAAUGGGGGCAACCCUGACGCAGCCAUGCCGCGUGAAUGAAGAAGGCCUUCGGGUUGUAAAGUUCUUUCAGCGGGGAGGCGUUACCCGCAGAAGAAGCACCGGCUAACUCCGUGCCAGCAGCCGCGGUAAUUC